rnacentral:rRNA from 1 species
CAGCAGCCGCGGUAAUACGUAGGGUGCAAGCGUUGUCCGGAAUUAUUGGGCGCAAAGAGCUCGUAGGCGGUUUGUCGCGUCUGCUGUGAAAACUGGAGGCCCAACCUCCAGCCUGCAGUGGGUACGGGCAGACUAGAGUGCGGUAGGGGAGAUUGGAAUUCCUGGUGUAGCGGUGGAAUGCGCAGAUAUCAGGAGGAACACCGAUGGCGAAGGCAGAUCUCUGGGCCGUAACUGACGCUGAGGAGCGAAAGCGUGGGGAGCGAACAGGAUUAGAUACCCGGGUAGUCCCUGUCUCUUAUAC